UGGGGGUGUCGAGGGGGGUACUAAAAAACAGAGACAGAAGCUGUUUUCAGUGGCUGGGAGAGGAGAGGAAGGACACAGGGAUGCCGGCUGACAAGCAGAUGGCUGCCCCCGUUUAUUGGUUUAUUCGGUUCAGUAUAGGCCUGUGUGUCCCGCCUGAAAGUGCAACUGAGACAUCUCUCUCUUUGUCAGGUUGAUGGCAUUUACCCCUGGUUACAGUGCUAUGGGAUUGAGCCAACAAUCGAGGGAAAAUAUUCCGGACACUCAACUGUCGAGGAAGUCAUCUGGUGGGAGAAGAUUCAUUCACCGGCUACCCUAGAAAAUCCAAUCGAGGACGGAAAAAUCAGUACGAGCAACAGUUAUACAAAGGAAAAUAUGAGUAUAAUGGGGGUAGUAUUGAGAUGGCGGCGAUAGCGUCGGCGUCGGCGUCGGUGGGUGGAUGGCGUCGGGUCGAUAGGAGGGUCCUUGGCCCACCAAAACCUCAACGUCCACAUUCACCCUUCUCCAUGAUCUCACUCCGGUAUCUCUUAAUUUUCAAUGGAUUUGCCGUCACCCGGACCCGGGAGCUACUGUCCCCCAAGGGAUGAAAUCUCAACACGCCCCUUCGAGAAAAAAAAUGGUGUUUUCAACGCCUCAGCGGAUCUAAUGGGGCAUCAGGACGGGAGGCGGUUACAGGAGGGAUUAGGGAGACAGUUGGGAUUUUGGGAGAGAAAGAGAAAAUUUAGGGACUAAUGCGACAAAUUUUUGAAACUCGACAAAAUUCUGAUGACUAAUCUCGGGGAAUAUUAACAGGAUUUGCUCGGUUGAUAAGUCGAUGAAGAUGACAUGGUGACCAAGUAACCCCAAGUAGCCAAGUCAUGUGCAGUGGUGAGCAAGAAAUCAAAAGAGCCUGGUACCGCUAAGAUGAGAGCACACGACCUUGCUGAAGGAUCAGCUGCGUCAUGCUCGAUCCGUUAGCGUCUCUCUGCUACAUGGAUUGAUCAUUUCCAUGACUAUCGACUGAUAAAACAGGUCAACUGUUGGUGGAUGAGAGGGCUUCAACUCAUCGGGGAAAAACCAAUCGUGUUCUUAAACACAUGGUGAGAAACAUAAACUUAAUUUGUGUUGUUCUAGAGCCUGACGAAUGCAAUGAUCGAGCGAAAAUUCGUACAAAUGAUUUGCAUAGACGACUGACCUUCAAUCCUUUCACUACAGGAUAUCGAAAAGAGAUGGUGUUGGUCAAUUUGAGAAGUGAUGGAGACUAGCAAUUUUUAUACUGGGCCUAAAGGAAGAUUAAAAUUUGAAGAAUUCGGUUUGCAAUCGACGAUGAAAUCGCACAU